GGUUGGUUCCAUGAACGAUACGAGGAGGCCGUCAAGGUGACCACGCCCCUCAGCCCUUGGGUUGCCAGGCAAUUGAGUAAAAGGUUCAAUGAUGCACAUCGCUUUCUAGUUAAGCCUAUCAAUCGAGUGGAGUUCGAAGUUAAAGACGGGAAGAUGGACGGACUUGUAUACCUGUCCAAGAAAACGUGUUCAUGUUAUGAGUUCCAAACAGAUUUACUGCCAUGCAGCCAUGCCAUUGCAGCAAUAAGUAAAUGCAAUCGUGAAGCCAUUGAAUUCUACGCUGACUACUACAAGACAACCGUUUUCGUGGAGGGUUAUUUAGAAUCCAUUAGGCUGGUAGGGCAUCUAGUGAGUGGGACAUCCCCCCUCAUGUGAAACAAAUUAUCGUCUUGCCCCCACCUUGGCGAGGCCAAGCAGGAAGACCUAGGAAGAGAAGGAUUCCAUCAGCUGGUGAAGGCAGUCGAGCACGGAGAUGUUCGCAAUGCAAGAGGUACGGGCAUAACAGACAGAAUUGCCCAUCCCCUUUGUAGUUCCAUCCACAAAUCCGACACCAUAUCCAAGUCAAUCGGUGACUCCAUGACUGCACCGACCUAAAGCAUGUUUAAGUUGCAGACAAACUGGUCACACACACAACAACUGUCCAAUACAAAGGACAAUGUCUGAAAAUGUAGGGUGUGUUAUGAAUGAAGACAGCCUGACCGCCUAACUAAAUGUGUCUGAAAAUUGUAGUUGAAUUCGUUUUACUUUACGGAUUUGUCUGCUCGGUCAUUCUAUGAGGCACUUUUAGUUACAGACUUUGUUGCCAAACAUUUCAGGCAAAUAAGCCUGUCAAGGCCUCUGUCUGAUCAAGAUCGUGUUAAAGU